rnacentral:ncRNA from 1 species
UGAGAAAUUAGUGAUUUAAGUCCUUCUUAAAUGAGGCCAUUUACCCAAAGAGGGUGCUAGGCCCGGUAGCUGGUUCCCUCCGAAGUUUCCCUCAGGAUAGCUGGUGCAUUUAAAAUUUAUGUAAAAUAACCUAUUCUCAAAAUUUAAAUGGAUAAGAACCUCACCUUUCUUGGUAUGAAGGUUUUGGUUGUGAUAUAAUGUGCCAAGUGGGCCACUUUUGGUAAGCAGAACUGGCGCUGUGGGAUGAACCAAACGUAAUGUUACGGUGCCCAAAUUAACAACUCAUGCAGGUACCAUGAAAAGCGUUGGUUGCUUAAAACCUGGAAGUCGCAAUCCGCCAAGGAGUGUGUAACAGCUCACCUGCCGAAGCAACUAGUCCUUAAAAUUGAUGACGCUUAAGUUGUAUACCUAUACAUUACCGUUAAAGUAAAUGGUUGAAAUUCAAUUUAUUUGGAUUUGUAAACUUUAAAACUUUAGUGAGUAGGAGGGUACAAUGGUGAGCGUAGAAGUGUUUGGCGUCCCAUUGGAGCCGCCAUUGGUACAGAUCUUG